rnacentral:pre_miRNA from 1 species
UGGACUUCCAUAUCGAGCCACAGCUAUCAACGAAUUUGCUGGCAAGAUGUAGGCAGUUCAGU